GUAGGGAAUAUUGGUCAAUGGACGAAAGUCUGAACCAGCCAUUCCGCGUGCAGGAAGAAGAUUCUAUGGAUUGUAAACUGCUUUUAGCAGAGAAGAAACGCCUUCAUUGAUGAGGGUUUGACGGUAUCUGCGGAAUAAGCACCGGCUAACUCCGUGCCAGCAGCCGCGGUAAUACGGGUGGUGCAAGCGUUAUCCGGAAUCACUGGGUUUAAAGUGUGCGUAGGCGGGAAAUUAAGUCAGUGGUGAAAUUCUGUUGCUUAACGAUAGAAUUGCCGUUGAUACUGAUUUUCUUGAAUUGGGUUGAGGUUAGCGGAAUGUGACAUGUAGCGGUGAAAUGCAUAGAUAUGUCAUGGAACACCAAUUGCGAAGGCAGCUAGCUGGGCCUUGAUUGACGCUGAGGCACGAAAGCGUGGGUAGCGAACAGGAUUAGAUACCCCAGUAGUCC
rnacentral:rRNA from 1 species